UACAGAGGGGGCAAGCGUUGUUCGGAAUUACUGGGCGUAAAGGGCGCGUAGGCGGCCUUCUAAGUCGAACGUGAAAUCCCCGGGCUCAACCCGGGAACUGCGUCCGAUACUGGAAGGCUUGAAUCCGGGAGAGGGAUGUGGAAUUCCAGGUGUAGCGGUGAAAUGCGUAGAUAUCUGGAGGAACACCGGUGGCGAAGGCGACAUCCUGGACCGGUAUUGACGCUGAGGCGCGAAAGCCAGGGGAGCGGAACAGG
rnacentral:rRNA from 1 species